AUUGUGUGAGUUUUCACUGGUAAGCCUUGGUCUUGUUGAGUAUGUAUAAUGUCUUAAAGACAGUGCUUGUAACCUGUUUCCAUCUUACGAAAAUUAGGACGGCCGCCUGGAGGGGUAGUCCAGAAGAAAGCUAAAGUCAGAGAAAAAGAAAUCAAAGAACCAGGAAGGAAAGAGAAGCAAGAAUUAAAGAAGGAAAGCAAAGACGAAGAAAAGAAGAAACUGAAGAGAAAAGUUGAUGACUUGGACAAAAAAGAAAAAAAAGCCGCUGACAAAGCCAAGAGAGACAAAAAGGCCGAAAAGGAGAGAUCAGGGCCAGACAAAAGUGUAAAAAAUAAAGGAACAGCAAAGGAAUUAGAUAGUGGAAAAGAUAAAGACACAAAAAAGCUAGCUAAGAACCUUUCUAAAGCAUCUGAGAGUUCAGCAAAGGGAGAGGAGAAGAGAAAAAGAGUAAAGUGAUAAUAUUUUCCACACCUGAAUGAUACAGAGAACUAUUGGUCAUAAGAAAAUAGAGCACCACAAGGGAAAUUUUUGUGUUUGUUAGAAUAAACAAAAAUUACAAAGCUUUUUGCAGAAAUAGCCUUAGUAUAUUGUAUGUGUUGACUACUAUGAAAUUCCAAUUUGUACAUAGUGUAUCUGAUCAUUAACUCUUCUAUAUUCUUAUUGUACUGAGAUCAAUUAUCUAUUCUUGUUUUUGGUACCUUAUCUCACACUUAAGGCUAAUAAAGGAAAAGUUUGAAAUA